rnacentral:rRNA from 1 species
UCAGUAACACGUAGUCAACAUGCCCAGAGGACGUGGAUAACCUCGGGAAACUGAGGAUAAACCGCGAUAGGUCAUGAUUUCUGGAAUGGUUUAUGGCUGAAAUCUAUAUGGCCUCUGGAUUGGACUGCGGCCGAUCAGGCUUCUUGGUGAGGUAAUGGCCCACCGAUACCCUGUAACCGGUCACGGGCUCUGAGAAGGAGGAGCCCGGAGAUGGGCACUGAUCGACAAGGGCCCAAGGACACCUAUAUGGGUCGCAGCAGAGCCGCAGAAAUCUCUGCAAAUAGGUCUGAAUAAGCCUUGACAAGGGUUACUCUGAAGCUGAUUCCCGCUAAGGGGACUCUUCUGGCACCUCGUGAAAAUGGCUCGCAGAAUAAGGUGGGCAAUUCUGGUGCCAGCC